CCAGACUCCUACGGGAGGCAGCAGUGGGGGAUAUUGGACAAUGGGGGGAACCCUGAUCCAGCGACGCCGCGUGAGUGAAGAAGUAUCUCGGUAUGUAAAGCUCUAUCAGCAGGGAAGAAAGAAAUGACGGUACCUGAGUAAGAAGCCCCGGCUAACUACGUGCCAGCAGCCGCGGUAAUACGUAGGGGGCAAGCGUUAUCCGGAAUUACUGGGUGUAAAGGGAGCGUAGGUGGCAUGGUAAGCCAGAAGUGAAAACCCGGGGCUCAACCCCGCGGAUUGCUUUUGAAACUGUCAGGCUGGAGUACAGGAGAGGUAAGCGGAAUUCCUAGUGUAGCGGUGAAAUGCGUAGAUAUUAGGAGGAACACCAGUGGCGAAGGCGGCUUACUGGACUGUAACUGACUCUGAGGCACGAAAGCGUGGGGAGCAAACAGGAUUAGAUACCCCAGUA
rnacentral:rRNA from 1 species